AAUGAACGCUAGCUACAGGCUUAACACAUGCAAGUCGAGGGGUAACAAGAGAAAAGCUUGCUUUUCUUGUUGACGACCGGCGCACGGGUGAGUAACGCGUAUCCAACCUGCCUAUAACUAGGGAAUAACCUUGCGAAAGUAAGACUAAUACCCUAUGAUUUCCUUUGAUGACAUCAGAUUAGGAAUAAAGAUUUAUCGGUUAUAGAUGGGGAUGCGUCUGAUUAGCUUGUUGGCGGGGUAACGGCCCACCAAGGCAACGAUCAGUAGGGGUUCUGAGAGGAAGGUCCCCCACAUUGGAACUGAGACACGGUCCAAACUCCUACGGGAGGCAGCAGUGAGGAAUAUUGGUCAAUGGGCGGAAGCCUGAACCAGCCAAGUAGCGUGCAGGAUGACGGCCCUAUGGGUUGUAAACUGCUUUUAUACAGGAAUAAAGUUAGCCACGUGUGGUUAUUUGUAGGUACUGUAUGAAUAAGGACCGGCUAAUUCCGUGCCAGCAGCCGCAGUAACAC
rnacentral:rRNA from 1 species